GAUGAACGCUGGCGGCGUGCCUAAUACAUGCAAGUCGAGCGAAUGGAUUAAGAGCUUGCUCUUAUGAAGUUAGCGGCGGACGGGUGAGUAACACGUGGGUAACCUGCCCAUAAGACUGGGAUAACUCCGGGAAACCGGGGCUAAUACCGGAUAACAUUUUGAACCGCAUGGUUCGAAAUUGAAAGGCGGCUUCGGCUGUCACUUAUGGAUGGACCCGCGUCGCAUUAGCUAGUUGGUGAGGUAACGGCUCACCAAGGCAACGAUGCGUAGCCGACCUGGGAGGGUGAACGGCCACACGGGGACUGAGACACGGCCCAGACUCCUACGGGAGGCAGCAGUAGGGAAUCUUCCGCAAUGGACGAAAGUCUGACGGAGUAACGCCGCGUGAGUGAUGAAGGCUUUCGGGUCGUAAAACUCUGUUGUUAGGGAAGAACAAGUGCUAGUUGAAUAAGCUGGCACCUUGACGGUACCUAACCAGAAAGCCACGGCUAACUACGUGCCAGCCGCCGCCGUAA
rnacentral:rRNA from 1 species